CUUCUCUGACGAAGUGUCUGCCUGCAGCGCCCUCUGAGCAAGUGAAGCUAGACAAAGCACAAAGGAAAAAAAAAAGAAAAACGGUGGGACCAUUGAGGCACAAGAAAUUAAGUUUCUCAUCAAGGCCAAGAUUGUCUGACUCCAGAGCCCACAUUUUCUACACUCUUCUCUAUACACAGUCUCUUGGUGUGCCUUUAUGGGGACUUCCCUGGUGGCGCAGUGGUUAUGAAUCCGCCUGCCAAUGCAGGGGACACGGGUUCGAUCCCUGGUCAGGGAAGAUUGGACAUGCUGCGGAGCAACUAAGCCCGUGUGCCGCAACUACUGAAGCCUGCAUGCCUAGAGCCCAUGCUCCAGAACAAGAGAAGCCACCGCAAUGAGGAGCCCGCGCACCACAACGAAGAGUGGCCCCCGCUCGCUGCAACUAGAGAAAGCCUGCGUGCAGCAACGA